rnacentral:rRNA from 1 species
GUAGGUGAACCUGCGGAGGGAUCAUUACACAAAUAUGAAGGCGGGCUGGAACCUCUCGGGGUUACAGCCUUGCUGAAUUAUUCACCCUUGUCUUUUGCGUACUUCUUGUUUCCUUGGUGGGUUCGCCCACCACUAGGACAAACAUAAACCUUUUGUAAUUGCAAUCAGCGUCAGUAACAAAUUAAUAAUUACAACUUUCAACAACGGAUCUCUUGGUUCUGGCAUCGAUGAAGAACGCAGCGAAAUGCGAUAAGUAGUGUGAAUUGCAGAAUUCAGUGAAUCAUCGAAUCUUUGAACGCACAUUGCGCCCUUUGGUAUUCCAAAGGGCAUGCCUGUUCGAGCGUCAUUUGUACCCUCAAGCUUUGCUUGGUGUUGGGCGUCUUGUCUCUAGCUUUGCUGGAGACUCGCCUUAAAGUAAUUGGCAGCCGGCCUACUGGUUUCGAAGCGCAGCACAAGUCGCACUCUCUAUCAGCAAAGGUCUAGCAUCCAUUAAGCCUUUUUUUCAACUUUUGACCUCGGAUCAGGUAGGGAUACCCGCUGAACUUA